rnacentral:pre_miRNA from 1 species
AAAGUACUCCCUCUGUCCCAAAAUUCUUGUCUUAGAUUUGUCUAGAUACAGAUGUAUCAAGUCACAUUUUAGUAUUAGAUACAUCCGUAUAUAGACAAAUCUAAGACAAGAAAUUUGGGACAAAGGGAGUAGUUG